UUGAAUAUUUGUUUCCAAGCCUUUGAACCUAAGGUUUAUAACUAUGGUUCCCAGGCCGAUGGGUAUAGAUUGGAAACGGCUAUGCCUCCCCGUAUUGUGGAAAGGAGACGACGAGGGCUUAUU
rfam:Syntrophomonas wolfei subsp. wolfei str. Goettingen, complete genome.